AAGUGUCCCUAUGAGUUCCUUCGAGCACUUCAUUGGGAAGCUUUAUUUAGGAUUUCCUACUGAAGUGUUUGGAGGAACUCUAAGUGCCACUU
rnacentral:pre_miRNA from 1 species